GGGAGGGGCUUCUGCUGUGAGUGGCACAUGUAGGGCAGCUUGAUUGCUCUAUGUGUGGAAUCGACAUCAAGAGAUUCCAGAAGCAUAAUUUUUGGAUACCUGGGCUGCUAGUGAUCUUAGGUCCUGGUGCCCGC